GACGCAGAGGGAGCCCCGCGGGACGCGAGCGGCGCCGGGCGGCCGGGCACCCGCAGGGCCCCGCCUCCGCCGGGACAGAGCCCCAGCGCCCCGAGGGCGGCCCGCGUCACCCCGAGGGCGGGCGCACAGCCCUGGCGGCUUCCGCUUUCCCUGUGGAGAAGAAGGGGCUUCCGGUGUUCACGGUGUGGCACCGACACAGGGCAGGCUCGGGGCCCUCACGCGUCCCCGCCGGCGGGCCGAGCCCGGCGGGCUGAGGGCCUGACAGACGCCCGCACAGGGUCGUCGGCCCCGGGCCACGGCCAGCUUCCGCGCCGAGCCCCCAGCCGCCCCUCCGGCGCCGACCCGGGGCCCACGGGUGACCCGCUCCCGGCCCCUCCCAGCGGCGCCCGCGUCCAGCGCCGGCCCGCGAGGCCCCAGGAUCGCUUCACGGCCCGGCCCCGGGGCCUCUUACCUGACACGGCAGGGUCCGCCCGGAACCUUAGCGCGGCCGCGGCAGCGGCGCCAGAGGCGGGCCCGGACGGUUUUCCCCAGCGCACCGAGGCCGACUCCGAGCUGUCAGCGGCGGCGGGAAAGCGCCGGCGCGGGAGCUCUGGGCUAAAGUCCAGAGGGCGGGGCCGACUCGGGGACGGGGACGGGCCUCCAGUGGGGGCGUGGUCAGGAGGGGCGGGGCUUGCGGGCCUACCUGGCGCCCCUGACGCACCUGGCGCUCCGCCCCGCCCGCACCAAGUACCUGGCGCAGGAGCGUGUCCUCGCCCCUUCUGUCCGCCUCGAAGGGCCCCCUCGGCCCGCGCUGGUCUCCGGAUUCCAGAGCCCCGGCCCCGCGGUGCUCUGCCCCCAGCACCCCCGGGCCGAGGCAGGACCUCACGACCGCCCCUGCGCCUCCCGCGAUCCGGCCGGGAAGCGCCGACUUCCGCGUGGGGCCAGGAUCGCUUCACGGCCCGGCCCGGGGCCUCUUACCUGACACGGCAGGGUCCGCCCGGAACCUUAGCGCGGCCGCGGCAGCGGCGCCAGAGGCGGGCCCGGACGGUUUUCCCCAGCGCACCGAGGCCGACUCCGAGCUGUCAGCGGCGGCGGGAAAGCGCCGGCGCGGGAGCUCUGGGCUAA
rnacentral:lncRNA from 1 species